ACAGGUGCAGAGGUAACGGAGACUAACGAGGCAUUCAUACAGCUCUGAGCUUUCUUGGUUCCUUAUGUUUUGUUCCUACUCACCUGUGGGAUCCCCCUCUUCUUGCUGGAGGUCUCUCUGGGACAGUUAACUGGUCAGGGUGGAAUCACCUGUUGGAGGAAAAUAUGUCCUUUAUUUGAAGGUUUAGGCUAUGGCAGUCAAUUGAUAUUGUUAUACGGUGAGGUGUAUUAUAUCGUGAUUUUGGCUUGGGCCCUCCUCUACCUCUUCUCCUCCUUCCACACUGUACUCCCCUGGGCCAGCUGCAACAACACCUGGAACACAGAGAACUGCAUUGAUUGCCGUCAGAAUGAUUCAGUUCAUGGCCAGAUCAAUGAAAAUGCAACAUCUUCAGUUGAAGAAUUCUGGCGG